rnacentral:rRNA from 1 species
UACAGAGGGUGCGAGCGUUGUUCGGAAUUAUUGGGCGUAAAGGGCGCGUAGGCGGUGCCACAAGUCACUUGUGAAAUCUCCGGGCUUAACUCGGAGCCUGCAGGCGAAACUGUGGUGCUGGAGUGUGGGAGAGGUGCGUGGAAUUCCCGGUGUAGCGGUGAAAUGCGUAGAGAUCAGGAGGAACACCGGUGGCGAAGGCGGCUCUCUGGUCCAUUUCUGACGCUGAGGUGCGAAAGCUAGGGGAGCAAACGGG